CUUUGUGUGUUGUUUCUUUGCUGUCUUUUCUUCCUUUUUUUUUUGCAGACGGUGGUUGAGGAUGAUGGUGGCAGAGGCAGACCUAGGGUGCGGCGUGCUAACGUGGCCAAGGCAUAGGAGCGGCGAUGAGGCUAGGGUUUCUGCUUUGCUGAAAAAUGUUUUGGUUUUGGGCUUAUCGGGCCAUUAGGGUUUUUUUAUAAAUUUGAGCUACUGUAAAUUGACUAUUGUCUUUUUUAUUAUUGGACUUUAAUUAUUUUUUUGUUUUAUUUAUUUUUCAUUUAGUUUAUGGUGGGCUAGACAGAAUUAGGCCUUUACACCUAUUUUAGAGUUAGGGUUGUUGUCGUCUUCAACCCUAGGUCAGUUGACAUUCUCAUGUUUUGAUUUCCAUUGUG
rnacentral:lncRNA from 1 species